GGGGAACUGGAGACGCAAGGAUUCAAGACAGAGAAGAAAAUCUGCAGCAAUUCGGCUUCCCCAUGGCUGAAUUUAUUUAUUUUGUUGCUCCCAAUUCAAGUAUGUCUAGCUAAUUUUCUUAUACUGAGGUUAAGGAUGAAACCCUAUUCAAUGAAAUAAUUAUAUCUUUUUAUUUAAUUAAUUCCCUAUAUAUGUUCUUUGAUGAUUAUGGUUUUUAUUUCACAUGAUUAAUUGGAUGUUAAUAAAAUCUUUUCAUCAAUUCUGUCAUGCAUUAUUGAUUGUUAGGAUUAAUAUUCGAUUAAUUCUAUGCUUGGAUCUAUAAAGUUUAUACAUGAUUAUCUUUGAUUUUAUGUCUUUCAUUAAAUUGUUU
rnacentral:lncRNA from 1 species